CAUAACCAGUUUUAAAACAUGUCUGACAUAUGGAGUGCACCCCAGAGGGUAAUACUCGUGAUGGGGCGACAUUUGUAAGCCAAUGUUCAGGUCAUGUCCCUUCAACAAGGACUUGAUCCUCCAAAUCAUAUUUUCCUGCUUAAAGUGUCAAGAGGUACUGUAUCUAUUGGGAAUAUUCGCAAGUUGAAUCAGAUUUAGAUCUUAAAGGGAUCUGUCACCAAGGUCUAUGUCAAAAACCUGAGAUUUUUAAGAACUGAAGUAUUGAUUGAAUUUAAGUUAACCAAGUCUACGUUUGGAAUCAUAGAUAGUGUGUUAAGGUUUAAAGACAGCUUGUUUAAGGGUCGCAGGUUCAAGCGGUUCUUUAUGCAGCCAAGUUGCAUCAAAAUUUGACAUUGCAAGUUACUGGUUUAUGUGGAAAAAAUUCCAGUGGUGAUAACAGCCAGUAAAAACAUUAUACAAACUUUUUCCCAUCCUACAGGUACCACAGAAUAAUUUAGAAUUUUCAAUUCAGUAAAUAUUCAUGGAUACUUUCAUUAAAAUUCACCACCCAAAUGAUGUAUUGUAGAGAGGCCUAAUGCUGCAAACUCUGUGUCAUGACACAACGCCAACUGCAGAUCCGCAAAAACAGGAUUCUUUAGAAGUUGUUUUUCUGCCUUGUUUAAAGCGCUAUUCAGGAAUUUGUGAUGCCUGAAAUGACAUAUCUGACAGCUAUAAGAAUAAUAUACUGCAUACAAAAUUAGCUUAUCUAAUGCCAGUACCGAGCGACCAGACAACUAAGAUUUUGUUUUUUUCCCAUUAUGUACACAGUUGCAGACUUUUAAUAAAGAUCAAUUCCUCCCUUUCUCUGUCAAUGUUCCUUGACACAAUCAGGUAUUUAUUUAACUUGCACUUCAUAAACCAUAUUGGAGCUCAAUGAUAUCACGUUUGAUAUAUUGAUGAUGGUUAUAAAAAUAACGGAGCUGUGGAACACUAUAGCGACCCACCAGAAUAUUACACAAUUGUAAGGCUGCCAGAUUUAGCUAUCCAGUUUUAGAAUACAACUUAUCUAAAUUUGCCCACUGUCAGAGCUAAAAAUAUUACGCUACUACGACGAAAAUAUCUUUUUGUCCUACUACAAAUUCUUCUUACGAAAAUAGCCAGAGCAAGGAUAAAUACAGACAGUAUUUACAAUCUAAAAUUAAAGCAAUGCUGUCUAUAAAGCCAUACACAAAGUCAUUUUCUCCCAGCAGUUUUUUUCACUUUCAUGGAGUAAGGGAGUUUUUUCUCAUGAAGGCAGUGAUUUCUUUACAAUUUUGCUGGAUUUCAUUAAGUAUUACAUAAAACAUGUGGACAAGAUAGAUGCCGUAAAGUCAGAGCUUGAGUUGUGCACUGAAAAAAAGGCAGCUAGCUUCAUCUCCAUACUGCAUCACAGAUUCUGUUCGCAGCACUCAAGACAAGAGAAAAAGGACAGGCAAUUUAAAGAAGGAAGUGGUGUGAAGAUGACACAUUUCCUGCCCAAGUCAGAGAACUCUGCAGCCUGCAGGAAUCAAUAUAUACUUGUCUACAACCAAUCAGCCAAUACACUGUGUACCAAGGUUGGCAAAAGAAGAUUGUGAACUUAAAACUCAAGACGGGGAAACUUCCAAGCAAAGAAACUUGCUUUUUAUCAGUUUGUGCUUUUCAGCAAGAUCUGAUUCUACAAUGCUGCAUUUUAUAUAAAGAAAAUGUUCAACUUUUAUUGUUUUGUCAAUUAAAUUUGCAAAAUUCAUUGUCAUAAUAUGUAUUUAUUGUUUGAAUAACUUUCAACCUUUCUAUUAUUUUAUCACUAUAUUAAGUCCACUGAAAAAAUUGUGAAAUAAAGCAACUUUUACGAU